rnacentral:snRNA from 1 species
GUGCUUGCUUCAACAGCACAUAAAGUCAGAACAAUGCAGAGAUUAGCAUGGCCCCUACUCAAGGAUGACAGCACAUUCAUGAAGUGUUUCAUAUUUUU